AGAGAUAGAGAGAGAGAGAAUUAAAAGCCAUUUUUGACCCAAAUUCGAGUCCCGAUUUCCGAAGCUCGUGAAGAGAAAAACGUUGCACGUUGCGUUGUCUUCAUUUUGAGCUAAAAAUCAGAGAAGAAGGAGUGUAUUAAGAUGGUUGACUUAUACUUCAAGGUGUAUAUUCUCUUAUACAAGCUAAGAGGAAUUGUUUGACGAAGUGGAUUUUGGUUGAUCUAUGACAUAGAGAAAUUGAACUCCUCGAGUGGUGGUAGAACUUGUUGUGUGCUAAAACGCCAAGGUGAUGUGCGAGACGGGAUAUGAAGAUGACCAUGUGGAGUAGAAUUUUUGGAAGCUCUUUUGAAGAUCACAUAUGCAUAUACAUCUAGUUUUUGUAUAUUAUUUUGGGGACUUGUACAUGAUACAUGUGUGACACUUAUGUACG